rnacentral:rRNA from 10 species
AAAUUGAAGAGUUUGAUCAUGGCUCAGAUUGAACGCUGGCGGCAGGCCUAACACAUGCAAGUCGAACGGUAACAGGAAGCAGCUUGCUGCUUUGCUGACGAGUGGCGGACGGGUGAGUAAUGUCUGGGAAACUGCCUGAUGGAGGGGGAUAACUACUGGAAACGGUGGCUAAUACCGCAUAACGUCGCAAGACCAAAGAGGGGGACCUUCGGGCCUCUUGCCAUCAGAUGUGCCCAGAUGGGAUUAGCUUGUUGGUGAGGUAACGGCUCACCAAGGCGACGAUCCCUAGCUGGUCUGAGAGGAUGACCAGCCACACUGGAACUGAGACACGGUCCAGACUCCUACGGGAGGCAGCAGUGGGGAAUAUUGCACAAUGGGCGCAAGCCUGAUGCAGCCAUGCCGCGUGUAUGAAGAAGGCCUUCGGGUUGUAAAGUACUUUCAGCGGGGAGGAAGGUGUUGUGGUUAAUAACCACAGCAAUUGACGUUACCCGCAGAAGAAGCACCGGCUAACUCCGUGCCAGCAGCCGCGGUAAUACGGAGGGUGCAAGCGUUAAUCGGAAUUACUGGGCGUAAAGCGCACGCAGGCGGUCUGUCAAGUCGGAUGUGAAAUCCCCGGGCUCAACCUGGGAACUGCAUUCGAAACUGGCAGGCUUGAGUCUUGUAGAGGGGGGUAGAAUUCCAGGUGUAGCGGUGAAAUGCGUAGAGAUCUGGAGGAAUACCGGUGGCGAAGGCGGCCCCCUGGACAAAGACUGACGCUCAGGUGCGAAAGCGUGGGGAGCAAACAGGAUUAGAUACCCUGGUAGUCCACGCCGUAAACGAUGUCUACUUGGAGGUUGUGCCCUUGAGGCGUGGCUUCCGGAGCUAACGCGUUAAGUAGACCGCCUGGGGAGUACGGCCGCAAGGUUAAAACUCAAAUGAAUUGACGGGGGCCCGCACAAGCGGUGGAGCAUGUGGUUUAAUUCGAUGCAACGCGAAGAACCUUACCUGGUCUUGACAUCCACAGAACUUUCCAGAGAUGGAUUGGUGCCUUCGGGAACUGUGAGACAGGUGCUGCAUGGCUGUCGUCAGCUCGUGUUGUGAAAUGUUGGGUUAAGUCCCGCAACGAGCGCAACCCUUAUCCUUUGUUGCCAGCGAUUAGGUCGGGAACUCAAAGGAGACUGCCAGUGAUAAACUGGAGGAAGGUGGGGAUGACGUCAAGUCAUCAUGGCCCUUACGACCAGGGCUACACACGUGCUACAAUGGCGCAUACAAAGAGAAGCGACCUCGCGAGAGCAAGCGGACCUCAUAAAGUGCGUCGUAGUCCGGAUUGGAGUCUGCAACUCGACUCCAUGAAGUCGGAAUCGCUAGUAAUCGUGGAUCAGAAUGCCACGGUGAAUACGUUCCCGGGCCUUGUACACACCGCCCGUCACACCAUGGGAGUGGGUUGCAAAAGAAGUAGGUAGCUUAACCUUCGGGAGGGCGCUUACCACUUUGUGAUUCAUGACUGGGGUGAAGUCGUAACAAGGUAACCGUAGGGGAACCUGCGGUUGGAUCACCUCCUUA